rnacentral:rRNA from 1 species
GAUGAACGCUGGCGGCGUGCUUAACACAUGCAAGUCGAACGAACAGGUCCUGCUUUUGUUGGGUGCUCGAUUGCCGAACGGGUGAGUAACACGUGAGUAACAUGCCCUUGUCUUUGGGAUAACUUCAGGAAACUGGGGAUCAUACCGGAUAGGAUAUCUUGCUGCAUGGUGGGGGUUGGUAAGUUUCGGCGGUUGGGGAUGGACUAGCGGGUUAUCAGCUUGUUUGUGUGGUUGUGGCUUACCAGGUCUAAGAAGGCUAGGCGGCCUGAGAGGGUUAACAGGGACAUGGGGACUGCGAGACGGACCAAACGGCAAUGUGACGCAGUGGGGGGGAAUAUUGCGGAAUAGGGGGAAGUGUGAUGUAGCAGCGCCGCGUGCGUGAUAACGGCUUUCGGGUGAUAAACCGAUGUCUCCGGUGACGUAGCCGGAUUGACGGUAAUGGGUAAAGAAGCACCGGCUAACUACGUG